UAAUACGGGGGAUGCAAGCGUUAUCCGGAAUCAUUGGGCGUAAAGCGCCUGUAGGUUGUUUAAUAAGUCUGUUGUUAAAGACUAGGGCUUAACCCUAGAAAAGCAAUGGAAACUACUAGACUAGAGUAUGGCAGGGGUAGAGGGAAUUUCUAGUGUAGCGGUGAAAUGCGUAGAUAUUAGAAAGAACACCGGUGGCGAAAGCGCUCUACUGGACCAUUACUGACACUCAGAGGCGAAAGCUAGGGUAGCAAAAGGGAUUAGAUACCCCUGUAGUCCUAGCCGUAAACGAUGGAUACUACAUGUUGUGCAUUACGUACAGUAUGGUAGCUAACGCGUUAAGUAUCCCGCCUGGGGAGUACGCUCGCAAGGGUGAAACUCAAAGGAAUUGACGGGGGCCCGCACAAGCGGUGGAGCAUGUGGUUUAAUUCGAUGCAACGCGAAGAACCUUACCAGGACUUGACAUACUACAAAUUCUUUUGAGAAAGAGAAGUGCCUUCGGGAAUGUAGAUACAGGUGGUGCAUGGCUGUCGUCAGCUCGUGUCGUGAGAUGUUGGGUUAAGUCCCGCAACGAGCGCAACCCUUAUUUUUAGUUACCAAUUCGUUGGGUUCUCUAGAAAGACUGCCGGUGACAAACCGGAGGAAGGUGAGGAUGACGUCAAGUCAGCAUGCCCCUUAUGUCCUGGGCUACACACGUGCUACAAUGGUUAAGACAAAGAGUCGCGAGCUCGUGAGAGUCAGCUAAUCUCAUAAACUUAGCCCAAGUUCAGAUUGUAGGCUGCAACUCGCCUACAUGAAGUUGGAAUCGCUAGUAAUCGCUGGUCAGCCAUACAGCGGUGAAUCCGUUCCCGGGCCUUGUACACACCGCCCGUCACACCAUGGGAGCUGGUCAUACCCAAUACCGUUAGCUUAACCGUUUGGAGAGCGACGUCUAAGGUAGGGCUAGUGACUGGGGUGAAGUCGUAACAAGGUAACCG
rnacentral:rRNA from 1 species